rnacentral:tRNA from 1 species
CGCGGGGUAGAGCAGCUCGGUAGCUCGCUGGGACGACUUCCCAGAGGUCGCAGGUUCAAAUCCUGUCCCCGCUACAA